CGCGCACCGAGUCGCCCCCAUCCCUCCCGUCAAAGGCGGCGGGAGCGGAGAAUGGCCCCCCGUGCCCUCGUGCGCGGCCAGCCCAAACAGAGGCCCCGGGAGGCCGACGUCACGAUCCGUGGUGGUUGUAAAAGACACGCCCCAGAAACCGGAUCCCGUGCACGCCGCGCCGCACCCCGGGCCACAGCGACCCCCGAGGUCCGUCCCCGGACGGCACCCACUCU
rnacentral:rRNA from 1 species